rnacentral:rRNA from 1 species
UACGUAGGGUGCGAGCGUUGUCCGGAAUUAUUGGGCGUAAAGAGCUCGUAGGCGGUGUGUCGCGUCGGCCGUGAAAACCUGCAGCUUAACUGUGGGCUUGCGGUCGAUACGGGCAUCACUGGAGUUCGGCAGGGGAGACUGGAAUUCCUGGUGUAGCGGUGAAAUGCGCAGAUAUCAGGAGGAACACCGGUGGUGUAGACGGCUUUCUGGGACGGUACUGACGCUGAGACGCGAAAGCGUGGGGAGCGAACAGG